UAUUGGUCUCAUUGGCCGUUCCCAGAUUUGAUCAUUACAGAGUUGUAAAUGUAAAAUUUCACAUUUUAUUUAUUAUCUCAUUUACAGAUAUAGUUCCAACAGAUUACACGAGUUGAUUUGAAGCAACAUAUUUCGACAAAGUAAAUUUAAAAGGUUGGAAACAUGUGAAGGAGAGAAUCUCAGGACCAUAUAUGCCUUAAAUACUUUACUAUAAUUGAUGGAGAGCAAGUUUGGAAGUAAAUGCCAAAGCACAAAGAUUUUGAAGAUUGGUUCACGGAAGAAUAAAAAGUCACUCGUGAUUUUGUAAAGCUUUCAGGAAAACAAGAAUAAAAAUUAGAACUAAGUACAUGUAAAUGUACUUAAGUAAGUACCUAAACUGUUAAUGUAUAACUUAUGUCUAAAUAAGUGUAAUUAAUUUCCUUUAUAAUGUAUAAAAUAAUAAUUUGUAAUAGAAUCUGUUUGAUUAGUAUGAAUCAAAUUAUC